rnacentral:lncRNA from 1 species
GUAAUUUUUGUAUAUGCAUUAGUUUUUUUCAGAAGAGAUUAUGCUGUUUUGUUUUGUUUUUUUGUUUUUUUUUUUUGUCAAAUGACUUUUGAAGAAGAACGCAAUCCUUUUGAACAUUACUGGAUGCCCCCUCCUGGAGAGAGAAAUCUUUAGUCUCCGCAGAACACUUGCAGCAAAAAGCUAUGACGACACAAGUUAACCUACAGUGCUUUGCCACUGCACCCUGGACCAGACUGCAGUGGUUGGUCUCCUAAUUUCUGCUUAGACAUCUAAGCUGUGGAGAUUCGAUAUCGCCUACUGCGACUUAGAUCUGGGUCCAUUGAGCUCUGACAUACCCCAAGAAAUGAAAGCUGGACUUAAAAAGGCUGAAAUGAAUCAGAUUAUCCCCAAUGAAGUCAUGUUUUCAUGGGGUUAUUUAUGUUCUGCGUUCUAUGAGUGGCGUGUGCGAACAAACAUAACCAGUAAGAGUCUCUUAAGAAAGGUAAGUAUGAAUAUUCCGUAUUCAUUACUUCUCAUCUCAGUUGCAAGGCACUGUGUCAGCUUCCUGAUCAGAUGAUGAGCAUCUUACGUAAGUCUAUUUUACAUUCA